ACUCCUACGGGAGGCAGCAGUGAGGAAUAUUGGACAAUGGGUGAGAGCCUGAUCCAGCCAUCCCGCGUGAGUGAAGAAGUGUUUCGGCAUGUAAAGCUCUAUCAGCAGGGAAGAAAAUGACGGUACCUGACUAAGAAGCCCCGGCUAACUACGUGCCAGCAGCCGCGGUAAU
rnacentral:rRNA from 1 species